UGGAAGACAUCAAGAACAAGUUCAAGAACCUUCGCACAACCUUUCAGCGUCAGUACAAAAUGGAGGAGAACCAGCCUGUGAACACCUCUGGAUCAAUCAUUACCUUCCUCCCCACCCCAGCCACCACCUCCCCGCCCUCCUCUACCUCCUGUGUCCCCUCCAACAUGAUGAUAAAAUGUUACUGGACUGAAGAAAGAGAGCGUGCACUAAUAGCGUUCUACUCUGAGCAUAGCUGUCUGUGGAACAAGAGGUCUGAGAACCACAAUAACCGGCAACUCAGACUGAGGCUGCUGGAGGCUCUGAGGAGUCAGCUGUCUGACCACUCUGUGUCUUUCUCAGUUGAAGACGUCAAAUGCAAGUUCAAGAACCUUCGAACAGUUUUCAACCGUGAAUACAAGGCGGUCCAGACGAGCAGGGUGUCUGACAAACUCUAUGUGUCCAAAUGGAAACACUACCAACAAAUGCUCUUCCUCUGUGAGUCCUGUGAUGAAGACGACAGCACAGACGACUUGAUGCCACAGGAAGACAAGGAUCUGGAGCAUGGAAACCAAACACCCUCCUCCACCCUGAGCAGUUUCUCCUCUAGCUCCAACCAAACCAGCAGCAUCAAGUUCAAUCACCCCACUGCUUCGUCCAACGAUGGCAAAACCACCACCAGUGCUGCCUACCAAAUAUUCCUUGCUGCGUCUCCAGAUCUUCUUAAGCUUGCGAGCCAAACAGCUGCUCCUACUCUAACCACCUCUCCUUACACUGCACAACUGGACACCAAGCCUUGCGCAAACCCCUCCCAUCUAAAUGUUUCUACGUCAGGUUCAGUUCAGCCAGACAGCAGACAGAGUGCAGACUCCCGCUGCCACUGGAGCGAGGCCAAAGUUCAGCAGCUGAUAUCCUUUUACUCUGAGCACAGCUGUCUGUGGAACCACAAAUCCGAGAGCUACAGGAACAGGCUGUUGAGACAGACUCUGUUGGAGACACUAAGCAGCAUUCUGUCUGAUAAUGAGCCAGUCCCAUUUUCAGUGGAAGACAUAAAGACAAAGUUCAGAAACUUGCGCACCAUCUUCCAACGUGAACACAAAGCGGUCAGUUCAAACAAAACAUGUGGCUCAGAGGAUUUUUACCUCCCAAAGUGGAAACAUUACCGUGAGCUGAUGUUCCUCUGCGACUCUUGCGAUGAGGAUGAGCAACCUGAUGACCUGCACUUCCAGGAACCACAGGAGUCCUGCCUCCUCCGCUUGGACUGCCAGCCCCCUCCCUCAUCCUUACAUUACCAUGGUGGUCCCCAAUCUGCUACUAAACUGAACAUCACAUCACUGGGUCUGGGAGCCCCUCCCUCGCCUACUCCUCCAGACUCCCAGCACUCUUCUCCCUCCUCCUGCCCCUCCACAUCCUCCUCUCACACUGACAGCAGAGGGUCAGGACGCAAGCGAGCGGGUCGGCGCCUGCUACCCACCACCAUGGAGGUGCUGGACUUCAUGAGGACAAUCUGUCAGAGCCAGAUGGUGUCACCACAUGCAGGGUUCCUCAAGUAUGUGGAGGAAUGUCUGAACGAGACACCACCCGACAAAGUGAAGAAACUGAAGAAGGAGAUAAUUGAGACGAUCCAUAGCAUAUCGGAGGAGAAUUAGUAGCCCCAUUCACACUGCCACUUGAAUGCGGUGAUUCUGCGCCAAUUCUCCGCCUCCUCUACUGUGUGAAAGUCUCAGAGGCUGCAAGGGAAGAAAUUCUGCUCCGGCACUGAUCCGCCUCUGGAGGUAGUAUCAGAGGCGCAGCAUUAGCGAACCAAACCAGUGUGGAUGGAUGAGGUGGAGGCGCGAAGCGGAGGCGUGUCGGUCUGACAGUCUGAUAACUACACAGGUCCUUCACUCAACUAAAUACAGAGAAAUGACCGACAAAGCACCGUUAGAGGACCAAACAAAACAUAACUGUAACUGUCUCUGGCAACUUAUAUGAGGAAAAAAAUACCGCAGAUGUAAGUGGAGAGGUGUCUGUACUCCUGCCUGUCCUACCGACUCUUCGUCACAUUUCUGCCCGAAAAACAGCGUUUGUCACCGAAAAAAAACCUUUUUUGUGUAGAAAAAAAUGACUGCGACUGUCAGCCACCCCAACCGAGACUUUAGUGAACUUUCCCCCAGAAAACAGCCUCCCUCCCCGCGAAUGACUCCCCGUGAGUCAGACAGUGUCCUGUUUACUGAUGGUGAUUAUGUAAUUAUGUAACAAAAAACAUCUAAACCUUUCCAGGAUGUUUGGUGGGUCAGGAUCUCAAGCAAAACACAUUAUAACAGCAUCCAUAUGAUUAUUAGCAUUCAGUUUAUGUUAACAGGAGGACUCUGGGGGAAACACCUUGAAAACACACGGACGUCAUCAUCAUGAUGUGUACCGUCGCACGUCCUUAGGAUCUGCAGCGCCAGCUUGCUUUGUGACUUACACAGUGGUUCGUUUUUACACCACAGUUGCUUGGCUCUGUGUGAACAAACUAUGGCGGAGUAUUGGCAAACUGUCGCUGCAGCGAUAAUGCGGUGUCUCUGUGUGAAAAGGGCUACUGAAUCACAGUUUGUGUUCUGUAGCUUAAGUCAGUCAGUGCGUUUACAUGACACUCAAGAAAACUGAAUUACUGUGUUAGUCCGACUAUGAUGGGAUUUCUAAGAUGCAUGUAUACACCUUAGUCUGACUGAAAUCGGACCGGAUAGGAUUUCUCAUAGUCGAAUUAAAGCACCCAGAUUAUUCAAUUGAUAGUCGCAUUACUCCUGCAUGUAUACGUUCUAUCAGAUCGGAUCGGAUUUUGCAUUCUGCGCGAGAUUUUUCCCGGGGCCGUGAGCCAGAAGUAGACAGACGGCGGCGGUGUCUUUCCUCCGAAAUCACCGCAAGAAAGAGCGCCAUUGUCCAUCUAGUUUGUGUAAUUAUCAUGACCACCAUAUACGAAGUGUACAAAGAUGUAGCUUCGUCUCGCUCUUCGUACGCCAUCUUUCUCCAAUGCCGAGGCAGUUUGUUGUUGCUGGUGACGUAAAGAGGUCAGCUGGAGGUGGCUCUGUUACCACUAGUUGAAAUGGGUACAGCGCCACCUAUCGUACCGGGGUAUGACAUGCUCCAGCCCCAUAAUCCGAUUUUCUCACCGGCAUGUAUACUCGGAUAAUUGCAGUUGUCUGAGUAGCAUAGUCGAACUAUGGCUGUAAUCUGACUAAGCUGUGCAUGUUAACGCACUGAGUGUCACUGGUGGUUUGUUUUGUUUUUGUUACCUUAUUCCCUUUGUUUGCUAGCAGCUAUGAUAUCAUUACUUAACAGCUGUUACCUUGAAUCUCAGUAGAAAUCUGUAUGAGGUUCAAACAGGGUCUCAGUCACCAAAACCUCUGCAAUCCUACCACCAAAGAGAAUGUUAUCGUGAACACUUCAACACGUAUAGGAAGAGCUGCUUCUGAAGGGAAACUUCACCAAACCUUGCAGCAGCACCCCUUUUUUGUGAUACUGAGUUUGGAUUUUACACCUACACUUUCUUCUUUGACCUCUGGGGUCAGUGAUGUUUUAGUGUAAACUAAUGAGACGACAGUGGGGCGGAAAUGGUGGGGGCAGCACUUCGUUGUUAGAGUUUUUGCAACUUCAGUGUGAACUGGUCUUUGUCAUCCUCAGCUGGACUUUCAGCUUAUUGUGACAAAGCAAACUUUUGUUGUUGGCAUGUUUUAAGCUCUCUGUACAGUUUAGUCUGCUAACAGCAUACUCAUUUAGCUGCUUGUAUGUUAACAUCGCAGAUGCUAGAAUUUGUUACACUUCAUAACACUCCAGUGUACAGAUUUCACAUAUUUCUAAGUUACAUUCAUGGAUAGUUAUCAUGAGAAUGUCUUUACAUGUGUUUAGAUUGUCAGAAUGCUAAAAUUAGUUUUCAUGCAAUGUUAAAUAUGGAAUAAGUAACUUGCCAAUAGUUGUGGAAAGAGUAUUGAAAGUCUGUACAGUUAAAUAACUGAAAAACUACUCAAUUCCAAGUUAAACCACUGCCAUUUAAAUAACACUUUGGUAAAAGGGUACUCUUCUCAAAUGCUACUCAAGUAUAAGUUGCUUUUUAACCUUUGAUGUUUAAUGCAUUAUCAAUUGUAGGCACUCAUAAUGGGGUUUCUGUUUCUCCAAAUCUUCAGUCUAGAUUAUUCCCAACUCCUGUGCUAUUCAGCCUAGUGGUCAUGUUCACUGCUCCAAACCUGGGCCUGCUGCAGAGUUUUGUGUUAUUUGUCCAUAUGCCAGGGUUUUCACUGGUCAAUUUGCCAUCAGAAUUCCUUGUUGGCCACAAAAAUACACAUGUAAGAUUUUGAUACUCAUUCAAAUUGUCCUCAGUACUUAGUUAUAGUAGAUGAGCUAAUUCCAUCCCUGCUUGCAAAAUGUAGCAACUUAAUGUAGAUAACAGCAUGUUAAAGUGCAUAGGGAGAGAGUGUCAUAAGUCAUUAUAGAAGUAUCUUGUCAUGAAGUAAAGUGUUUGACCAGUAGAUAUCUUGAUUUUUCAAUGGCAAAGGUCAGGCGAUAUCUGAAGUCAUAUCAUUCUGGAGCAUGAUGGACUAUCUGACAUCUUUGUAUUGAUGCUACUUUUAUUGGUAAAUGCGCAUCUGAAUUUGACUUGGGAAGUCUUCCAAAAGAAUUGCAAGAGAUGAGGAAGUACUAUGUCCCAUUGUGUUGUCACAGUAGACAACAUAUUCAUAUGCUUUCUUUCCAAAAUGCCAUACUCACCACUUCAAAUUAGAAUUUGAAACUAGGAUAUGCCAGUGGGUAGUUUCAUCACAAUAUACAUCAGCAGUG
rnacentral:lncRNA from 1 species